GUUCGCUCACGGAGAAUGGCGAUUUGAGCUUUCUAUUUGAUUGCGGUCUUUCCCCAGGAGACGGAGACUGAUUGUCAAUGGAACAAACUCUUCACUAUCGGACAGUAUUCUUGUUCACCUGAGUAUAUCAGGUGUGAGAGGAUAACUAUUGAUCUAAUAAUAGAUUCACAGAAAGACAAGAAAUAAUUUGUAAGAAGGCCGUCGAACGAAUUUCGCCUCAACUUGGUGAGUCA